AACGCACAUUGCGCCCUCUGGUAUUCCGGAGGGCAUGCCUGUUCGAGCGUCAUUACACCACUCAAGCCUCGCUUGGUGUUGGGCGCCGCGGUCAAACGCGCGCCCCAAUAUCACCGGCCGGUCACCCGAUCUCCGAGCGCAGAAGCACAAAACUUUCGCUCGAGGGCAAGGGGAAUCGCGCCGUUAAAACCUCCAUCAAAGGUUGACCUCGGAUCAGGUAGGGAUACCCGCUGAACUUAA
rnacentral:misc_RNA from 2 species